UGCAAGUCGAGCGGUAGAGAGAAGCUUGCUUCUCUUGAGAGCGGCGGACGGGUGAGUAAUGCCUAGGAAUCUGCCUGGUAGUGGGGGAUAACGUUCGGAAACGGACGCUAAUACCGCAUACGUCCUACGGGAGAAAGCAGGGGACCUUCGGGCCUUGCGCUAUCAGAUGAGCCUAGGUCGGAUUAGCUAGUUGGUGAGGUAAUGGCUCACCAAGGCGACGAUCCGUAACUGGUCUGAGAGGAUGAUCAGUCACACUGGAACUGAGACACGGUCCAGACUCCUACGGGAGGCAGCAGUGGGGAAUAUUGGACAAUGGGCGAAAGCCUGAUCCAGCCAUGCCGCGUGUGUGAAGAAGGUCUUCGGAUUGUAAAGCACUUUAAGUUGGGAGGAAGGGUUGUAGAUUAAUACUCUGCAAUUUUGACGUUACCGACAGAAUAAGCACCGGCUAACUCUGUGCCAGCAGCCGCGGUAAUACAGAGGGUGCAAGCGUUAAUCGGAAUUACUGGGCGUAAAGCGCGCGUAGGUGGUUUGUUAAGUUGGAUGUGAAAUCCCCGGGCUCAACCUGGGAACUGCAUUCAAAACUGACUGACUAGAGUAUGGUAGAGGGUGGUGGAAUUUCCUGUGUAGCGGUGAAAUGCGUAGAUAUAGGAAGGAACACCAGUGGCGAAGGCGACCACCUGGACUAAUACUGACACUGAGGUGCGAAAGCGUGGGGAGCAAACAGGAUUAGAUACCCUGGUAGUCCACGCCGUAAACGAUGUCAACUAGCCGUUGGAAGCCUUGAGCUUUUAGUGGCGCAGCUAACGCAUUA
rnacentral:rRNA from 1 species